CAGGAUAUGAUCCAGUUCACGGGCUUGAUUCUAACACUAAUUAAAAUGUGAUCCAGUUCACGGGCCUGAUUCUAACACUAACUAGCAUGUGAUUGAGUUCACGGGCCUGAUUCUAACACUAAUUAAAUGUGAUUGAGUUCACGGGCCUAAUUAUAACACUAAGUAAAAUGUGAUUGAGUUCACGGGCCUGAUUCUAACACUAAUUAGGAUAUGCUCCAGUUCAGGGGGCUGACUCUAACACUAAUUAGGAUGUGAUUAAGAUCACAGGCCUCUAAUUAGAAUUAUAGCAUUAUUAUUUAUUUCCACAAAUCACAUUUUCAUACAACUCUUUAUAGUGAAAUGUUACACACAUCUAUUUUGAUUUAAAUCGUAUCAUUGAUUAUUCAUCUAUAACUUAGACUUUUGAAAUAGUUUAUUAUACCCCCCGCAACAAGUUGUGGGGGGGGGGUAUACUGGAAUCGGGUUGUCCGUCUGUCUGUCCGUCCGUCCGUCUGUCCGUCCGUCUGUAGACGCAAUGGUUUCCGGGCUCUAAAGCAUUAUCCUUUCCACCUACCGUCACCAUAUCAUAUAUAUGAACUACCCAUGGGAUGAAGAUGUUCCCUAUCGAUUUUGGGGUCAAAAGGUCAAAGGUCACGCGCACUGGACAUCAAAGUAGCAAUAUGGUUUCCAUUUAAAUUCUUUAACGGCUUUUUUCAUCGCAUGGAGAUGCUGUGUUCCUAGAUACCUUUUGGAUCAUAAUAUUGAAGUUUUACCUAUAUAUUUCCAACACCCUUUAGGAGAUUGGGGUAAGCGGGGGGUAUUCUUAGUGAGCAUUGCUCACAGUACCUCUUGUUUUAACAGUUUUUUGUUUUUUUUUACAAUAACUAUCGGAAAAGACUAACAAAAUUUAUGUUCCUAUCAUGCAUAAAUCUAAAUAAAUCAUUGAUUUUGCAAAAUCUGAUGACAUCAUAGGAGGGUGGAAUUACUUUAAGUUAUGUUUAGUGCUGUGUGUAUAUAAACAUGCACUCAUAUAAUUAUAUCUUCCCUCUUCCAGGGGGAGACAUAUUGUAUUUGUACUUUCUGUCCGUCCUUCCUUCUGUCACAAAAUCUUGUGAACGCUUCUCCACCUAUAUGGCUUAUCAGAUAGACUUGAAACUUUGUACAAUGCUUCAUUGUCAUUUACAGAUGUGAAUAUUGUUGGGACGGGAGGAUCCAAUUGUUUUCCUAAGAGUUAUAGUGGAUCUAAGAGGGGUGGAAGAUGUAAAAUAGCUUAUGAACUCUUCUCCUCCCAUAUGGCUUAUUGGAUAGACUUGAAACUUUGUACAAUGCUUAAUUGUCAUUUGUAGAUGUGCAUAUUGUCGGAAUGGGAGGAUCCAAAGUUUUUCCUAAAAGAUAUAGUGGAUCUAAAAGGGGUGGAGGAUGUUAAAAUACCUUGUGAACACUUCUCCUAUAUGGCUUAUCUGAUAGACUUGAGAAUUUGUACAAUGCUUCAAUGCCAUUUGUAGAUGUGUAAGUUGUAGGGACAGGAGGAUCCAAUUGCUAUCCUUAAAGUUAAAGUGGAUCUGAGGGGUGUAGGGUAUAAAAUAGUUUGUGAACGCUUCUCCUCCUAUAUGGCUUAUCAGAGUUCAUGUCUAUCUUCCUGCCCAUGCUUUCUCCUUCAUACUAUUCAAUACAUUAAGGGGGAUGUUUCCUAUAUUUUACGAAUUAAUUGGUUGAUUGACAACAAACUUGGUACACUUGUACAGCAUAUAUAAGGAGUAGAUGACCCCUAUUGAUUCUUAGGUCACAUGGUCAGUCCACUCUUGACAUAGGAAGGUAUUGUCUGCUCAAUAUUUUGAAUUGGUGAUACUACUAUCAAUUAAAUGAGGCACGGGUAUAACCCUUUCAAUUUUGCAACUUGGGGGCAUAUGUGUUUUAGAAACAUCUCUUGUGUUGUAUUAUAUGAAUUACAGGUUUUAGUGUGCUCAGUUUAGAGAAUAGCAUAAAAGUAUUUGAUAAUUAAAUAUCUUGCAGAUUGGCAGUUUACUCCAUGCACCGACAGGAAUGAUAAACUGUGAUAUUCGUAAAUGAUUUUACCAAAUACAGAACACUGCAAGGCUUGCAAAAUGAAGACCUCAGUAAAAAAAAUUCUAAAUUAUCCACUAAUGGCAGCUCACUACCUGCCCCUAGUGAUGUUAAAAGAGGCCGUUGUUCUCAUUUGUUCCAAAACAGGAAUGGCAUAUGAGGAGGCCAACAGAAGAUGCACCUCCACUGACCUCCACUGAGUGUGCACUCACAAAACGAAUAAAUUAUUAUUAUUUCUUUUGUUUGUAAUUGUAUAUUGUCAACAAGGUCAAAGGCACUUGAUCCGAUGCCAAACUUUUGCAUUUCUUUUGCUUUGUGGUAAAUUUUCUUCAGCAACAUUAACAUUGUUUAAAUUGUUUUCUUUGGAGAGUAGACAUGUACACAUGGAUCAUUUGUAUAUUAGAAUUAUAGCAUUGUUUAAUUCAACUCAUUCUUAUCCUAGAGAGGUUAUUAUAUACUGCAGGCAACGACUUGUAAAGGGUAUACUGUUUUAACUCACGUGCAAGGCAAGGCAGUAUUAUGAAACUCUGUAGUUGAUAAGGACAUAUAUCACAUAUCGAUAUGCAUAUUUACAGGAAACUCUGAUGUAUUUUAAAUCUGAACGUUAAUUUAAAAGUGGGGAGAAAUAGCAUUGGAUGAAAAAAGACACAUAUGAAGAAAAUUAUUCCAUACGUAAAUACUUUUUAGCUCACCUGAGCUGAAAGCUCAAGUGAGCUUUUCUGAUCGCCUGUUGUUCAUUGUCUGUCCGUGAUUAAACAUUUUAUAUUUUCUCCAGAAGCAAUGGGCCAAUAAUAACCAAACUUAGCCAAAAGUAUCCUUGGGUAAAGGGCUUUCGAGUUUGUUCAAAUGAAGGGCCAUGCCCUCUUCAAAGGGGAGAUGACCACAAAAAUAGGGUGGGUCAUUUAAUUUUUUUUUAUCAAGAACCACUGGGCCAGAAGAGCUAAAAUGUACAUGAAAGCUUCUUGACAUAGUACAGAUUCAAGUUUAUUGAAAUCAUGGCCUCCAGGGGUUGUAUGGGGCCACAAUAGAGAAUCAAAGUUUUACAUACAAUUAUUCAGGAAAAAUCUUUCAAUAUGAGCCAAGGUGGCUCAGGUGAGCGAUGUGGCCCAUGGGCCUCUUGUUCAACAUAUAGAAUAAAUACAUGUAGUUAUGUUGUAUUUCCCAUGGAACAUUGAAACGUUUAAUGCGUUUACCAAUUAAUCACUGAAAGAAAGAUAAAAUUGUUGUUUCAUAUGUUUUAUGAAAACUUAAAAAAUGUUUCAUUUCUUUUCAUGAAAGACCCCUUAAUUACCCAGUAAUAUAUAAUCAAUUCUUAACAGAUUAUGUAAAUUUGAUUUAUAUUAAGGAUGUUUGAUCUGAUUACCCAUCAUUAUCAAUCUGUCUAAUAUAGCCAUCAUGUGUUACUAUUGCUACGCAAUCUUGGAGCAUGAGGUAGAAUGCGAGCCAGCUCUUUCAUAAGUACAUGCAUCUGGAAAAUAUAUUUCAAUGUCAAAGGUUACAACAAUGUGAUAAUGUAAUCAUUGUAUGUCUAAGGUCUUGAUAAUAAAACUGUUAUCUGUUCAACUUUUUCUUCUUAAUUAAAAUCAAGACUAAGUACCAGAGGAAAUUGUGGA